AAAAAAAAAAAAACUCUCUUUUAUAGAAAGCAUAUAUUAAUUUCAUGUUGCAUUUUAAUUUUCCUAUUUCAUGUGAACCUAAAUUUAUAUAUUUAUCAACUAUGAUAUCUCAUUCUUGCAUUUGUUUGGUAGCAAAACUAAAAUUUGUAAGAAAAAGUUAGGUUAGACAAUAAAGAGCAAAACUUUGCUUUUUAUGAAAAGCAAAGAUAUCUUGGUUUACUUGCCAUUUUAUUUUCUCAUGUAAUGCAAAAUUCAUAGAUUUAGUCCACCAUUUAAUUUUAAACCAGUUGCUGUGAUCUCCAAACAGCAGAAUGCUAGAAUGUAACACCUUAAACACAAAAUGUUAUUUACAGCAUAGAUUUUACAGCGCCAAGCAUUUUCAUCAGAACAAUCUCAAUACAUCAGCAUAUUGGGAAACUAUUGGCAUUUUUAGAGAGGCAAACAUGACAUGCAAGACAAGAGGAGACAUAAGCAAAAACGCACAAAGCUGCACUUAUACAUUCAAAUGUUUACUAAUUAUAUCGUAGAAAGCAAUGCACCCAACAACAAAAAUUCAAACA
rnacentral:misc_RNA from 1 species